UGUAAGCGUAUACCAAAGUUGUUGCAGUUAGAACGCUCGUAGUCGGAAUUUGGCAGUUCCAGAUGUGUGCACGUCGUGUGCGCACUUCGCGGGGAUUGCUUUUGUGGUCUUGCGUAGGAUGAGGCACUUUUAUUAGUGAACGUCCUCACGCAACCACUUUUUACUGUGAGAAAAUCAGAGUGCUCAAAGCAGGCAUUUGCCGUGAAUGUAUUAGCAUGGAAUAAUAGAAUAGGACUUGGUUCUAUUUUGUUGGUUUGUUGGGACUGAGUAAUGAUUAAGAGGGACAGUUGGGGGCAUUUGUAUUUCGGUGCUAGAGGUGAAAUUCUUAGAUUACCGAAAGACAAACUGCUGCGAAAGCGUCUGCCAAGGAUGUUUUCAUUGA
rnacentral:rRNA from 1 species